rnacentral:rRNA from 1 species
GACGAACGCUGGCGGCAUGCCUAACACAUGCAAGUCGAACGAGACCUUCGGGUCUAGUGGCGCACGGGUGCGUAACGCGUGGGAAUCCACCCUUGGGUUCGGAAUAACAGUUAGAAAUGACUGCUAAUACCGGAUGAUGACGUAAGUCCAAAGAUUUAUCGCCCAAGGAUGAGCCCGCGUAAGAUUAGCUUGUUGGUGGGGUAAUGGCCUACCAAGGCGACGAUCUUUAGCUGGUCUGAGAGGAUGAUAAGCCACACUGGGUCUGAGACACGGACCAGCCGCCUAGGGGAGCCUGCAGUGGGGUAUAUUGGACAUUGGGCGAAAGCCUGUUCCAGCAAUGCCGCGUGAGUGAUAAAGGCCUUAGGGUUGUAAAGCUCUUUUACCAGGGAUGAUAAUGACAGUACCUGGAGAAUAAGCUCCGGCUAACUCCGUGCCAGCCACCGCCGUAA